AUUGCAAAUGAUGUACUCAUCCAACAACACAUUGUUGGAUGACUUGAAGACUUCAGAGAUGAUCAACAGGCUGAAGAACAUCCUGCCUGUAACGGGCAAAGAGCUAGAACAGCAGAUGUACCUGGAAGAUGUAAUUCUGCCAGAGGUAACAAUUCAGUGGCUGAGAAAA